GGCAGAAUAGCUCAGUCGGAUACCUUCGGGUCAGAGCAUCUCACAUGAUAUGAGAAGGUCGCAGGUUCGAUUCCCCCGAAGAGCUAUUCUGCCA